CCAUUGCUUUUCAGAGAGAGAGAAAAACACCAAUGUGAGAGAAAACACACAGGCCCCGCCGCAGUUGGGACUGGGGAGUGUCAAAUCUCUAAGCCAUACUAGUUCGUUCAAAAGUGACAGAUGCUGCUGUAAACAGGAUGAGCUUGACAAGAACUCAACCUGAUAAGUGUAGCCAACUGCAAAGAAGAAAUCAACAUGUAAUUAACCAAGUAUUGUUAUAAGCAAUGGCUAAGCCUCCCUUGGGGAAGACGAAGCUUUGGAUGGGCCUGAAG